rnacentral:lncRNA from 1 species
AGCCGCGCGGCCAGGGUAACCGCGGGCUCGCGUGGGUGCUGCUGGCUACCUGUACAACUUCGUGCUCCGGCGUCACCAGCUAGCUAAAUCCUCGCAACGGUUCUGGGCGAUAGGGGCCGUUUUUGUCCCCCUUCUUCAGCAGAUGAGGGAAUUUGUUUCAAAAAGUUGUUACCUGCUCACGGAAACAGACGUCCUAAGCUAUUAACACAAUCUCCAGCUGUGUUCUAACCAAGACAGGAACCGAAGGGAACAGUAAAAAAUCAUUUUCCGCAUCCUUUUUAAGAUGCUUGAUGUCCAGGACUUUGAAACAGCUGAUUUCUUUUUAACCACCUCUCAAUAGGAUUCAUGGAAAAAACUCUGACAAGCACAGAUUUCUGAAAACUUUAAGGUCAUACCACUGGACUCGAGAAAUAUUACUGAACACUUGUUCUGAAGGCUGAUCCUAGACAGCAAGACUCAGAGAAUUGAGAGAAGACAAAAACAUUCAUCUAAUCGGGGCGGCUGGGUGGGGUGAAGUGAACCCAGCCUGAUUACCCUUAGCAUCUAACUCCACAGAAACUCUGCUCUCUAUUUUCUCAAUCUUCUCCAAUUCUUUAUGAAGGGGUUCAGGAAAUGCCGCCCCAAAAUAUGGUGCUUUGGUGUAAUACUUUGAGCUGAAGACACUUGAAAACAGUAUAUGCAGGGAGACGCUUUCUCUGAACUCCCCUUAUCUGUCUAAAGAUAGAUACCGCAAAGGAACUCAAUUUGUCAUCAAUUUUCCAUCAGUGAAACUCUUCCAGGAGUUUCAUCCACCAGUGAAGCUUAUCUCAAUCACAAGAGAAGAGACUAGAAGCCCACACCACACUUAGACAAAUGUCACAAACGAUCAUCUGUUCUUCUAAGGGCCAUUCAUCUUUUCCCAAAAUCAUUUACUCUGCCUGAAAUUGGCUACAUCCCUGGCUUCCUUCUCGCCUAUGUAGAGGGUAUAUAAGCUCCUAAAUCUCCCGGUUUUUCAGGUAAAGAAGAUAAAAUUUGGGAACUUAAAACUUGGCAAAGAAGGAAAUCCUUUUGGCAAUAUCAUAAAGAGGCCCAUUGUCACCAGAAGUGUAUAGUUUCUAACAGAUUUAUACAUUGGAAGUUGAUUUUGCUCCUAAUUUCAACAUGCCUAAUGAAAUAAAUAAUCAAAACAGUCUAAAAUUCUUCCUCCUCUCUGCCUCCUGCAAAAAGACAGCGUCUGGUAUUGUCCAC